rnacentral:rRNA from 1 species
CGGUGUUUAACUGGCGUGAUGUGGGACGUCCUACCGGUGGGCUUAGCCUCGCGAGGGGCGGCCCAACUAAUAUCCCGUCGCGGUGCUCUUUACUGAGUGUCGAGUCGGGCCGGUACGUUUACUUUGAACAAAUUAGAGUGCUUAAAGCAGGCUAUCCUCGCCUGAAUACUGCGUGCAUGGAAUAAUGGAAUAGGACCUCGGUUCUAUUUUGUUGGUUUUCGGAACCCCGAGGUAAUGAUUAAUAGGGACAGAUGGGGGCAUUCGUAUUGCGACGUUAGAGGUGAAAUUCUUGGAUCGUCGCAAGACGGACAGAAGCGAAAGCAUUUGCCAAAAAUGUUUUCAUUAAUCAAGAACGAAAGUUAGAGGUUCGAAGGCGAUCAGAUACCGCCCUAGUUCUAACCAUAAACGAUGCCAGCUAGCGAUCCGCCGAAGUUCCUCCGAUGACUCGGCGGGGCAGCUUCCGGGAAACCAAAGCUUUUGGGUUCCGGGGGAAGUAUGGUUGCAAAGCUGAAACUUAAAGGAAUUGACGGAAGGGCACCACCAGGAAUGGAGCCUGCGGCUUAAUUUGACUCAACACGGGAAACCUCACCAGGCCCAGACACCGGAAGGAUUGACAGAUUGAUAGCUCUUUCUUGAUUCGGUGGGUGGUGGUGCAUGGCCGUUCUUAGUUGGUGGAGCGAUUUGUCUGGUUAAUUCCGAUAACGAACGAGACUCUAGCCUGCUAAAUAGGCGUACCUUAUGGUAUCGCGAAGGCCCCCGGCUUCGGCCGGUGGGUUUUUACUACCAACGUACAAACAAAUCUUCUUAGAGGGACAGGCGG